AAAAUAUAUAAGUGGUAUGAUAUAUAAAAUUCUCAGAUUUUUAGUUUAAUAUUUAAAAUUUUAACAAACUAACAGGAUAAUUUUUGUUCUUUUUGUUUGAAUCAGUUCUGUUAAAGUUGUAAUAUCCUAAAGACAGCAGCUCUCUUCUAGCCAAAAAACACAGGACGCUGAAUUUGUUUUCCCGGUGUAGAUUCGUAAUGAAAAAUGGAGCCAAAUAUUUCUUUUUUGUAGCCUGAAAAAUAGUAAGUAGUAUUAAUAAAGUUAUUUUGGGGAUUUUAUUUGUGAAAAAUCCUGUCAAAUCCAAUUAGCUUGAUCUUUAGCAGUUAUGUAAGUGUAAGGUAAAAAUAAACAAUGAUUUUAGUAUGGUAAUCAGGUGAAAUUAUACCAUGCACUUAUUUUAGAAAUGGGGCUUGUCACAGUCCGAAGCUGUUAGAACAAAUCCUGGCUUUCAUGCAAACCUCCAGCGGGGUCCCGUUUGGAACCGGGUUUCCUAGCGCUCCCGGUUCUCCUCUGGCGAUGCCCGCUGACCGGACUGCAUGGGGACCCUGAAGUGCUCCGCUAGUCCGCAGCUUUCCUUCGACAGUCAGGUUCCGCUUAGUCCUUUGAAAAUGCCCAGUGAUUCUUGUUCUCAUAGCGCACCUCGACAUGUUAACACGCGUCUUAGCAAGACCUCCAAUACCGGCUUCCUCGUAACCACACUAGAGCUAUGUUCUCAUAAUUCCUUUUUGUUUGUUAGCUAUAAAACAGAACAAAUGGGACCGAGGGACUUUGGCACGGCUCCAAGUCAGAGCGAAACGCAUUCCGAAUUGGCCCUUUGCCCAAAGGCAGCCGGCGUUAAAAACACAAAACCCCGCAAUAUCUUGCUUUGUCUUUGCAUCAGAUCAGACAUCUUCAGCUGGAGGAGUCAACGACUGAGGCAAGUUCAAGAAUAAGUGAUAGAAAUACAUUGUGCUUGCCAGCCAUAAGUAUCUCAAUCGUGGACAGAUUUCUUUAGGUCAUUUGCUCUUGGGACAGAUUAUUCUUUCAGGUUGGAUACCUGAGAUAUUCUAAAGCUAGACUUCUCUGCCUUUAUGAAUAGUAAGUGUAUUACCUUCAGUUUUAAUUAUCUUGAAACUAACAGAUUAUUCUGUGAUUAAAGAUGGUAAUUGAAAAUACAUGUAUCUAUUAAAUAUGUUGC
rnacentral:lncRNA from 1 species